UACGGAGGGGGCAAGCGUUGUUCGGAAUUACUGGGCGUAAAGGGCGCGCAGGCGGCUGCUCAAGUCAGGCGUGAAAGGCCUGGGCUCAACCCGGGAAUUGCGCUUGAGACUGGGCUGGCUUGAGUGCGGGAGAGGAUGGUGGAAUUCCCAGUGUAGAGGUGAAAUUCGUAGAUAUUAGGAGGAACACCGGUGGCGAAGGCGCCACUCUGGGCCGAAACUGACGCUGAGGAGCGAAAGCAUGGGUAGCAAAGCAGG
rnacentral:rRNA from 1 species